rnacentral:lncRNA from 1 species
GGAUGGCUCCAGCCUGGUCCCAGGUCAUACCCCAUCCCUGGAGAGGGGAGCCAGGAGGAGCCUUCCUCCCAAGAGACUGGAGAGGAGGCAGUUGAGGGGAAGAGGAGGGGUUCCGAGGAGAGGAGGCCUGAAGGGACUGGCACCAGGCAGGACUUGGGUCAUGUUGGCAUAGAUUCACUUAGCCCCUUUGCCUCCCCCCAGAGGCCCGUUCUGUGGCAGGGCAGGCUGGUAGGGGUUGUUUACAUGGCUAAGUUAUUAACACUCCCUUCCUCCCCCAGCUCUCCUGAGGGUGGCCCGGACCUGACUGUGCCAGGGGAAAUGACUGCGGAGGGUCUAACACUGACUGCAAUCCCAAGGCCCCAAGCCCCAGCCUCUGCUCCCAGGCUGGCUCCAAGGAGCAGACGAGGGGCUGGGGAGUGCCUGUGGUCCCCCAUCUGUGUCCUCUGGCAGCUGAAGCUUGUGGGAGAGUCCGGGUUGGGGGGAGAUUCCUACAGCUUGGGGCCUGGAAGAGGCUGGGCAGGGCAGGGUCACCGUCUGUGGACUAGACCGGGACUCUCAGGACAGGCCCACCAAGCCUUGUAGCCGACUGUUCUGUGCCUGAAGACAGAGCAGAGCUGAG